UAUAUGGUCAAGAAGAGAAUCGCAAACGGUGGAUGCCUUGGCAGUAAGAGUCGAAGAAGGACGUGGAAUCCUGCGAAAAGCUAUGGGGAGCUGGAAACGAGCGUUGAGCCAUAGAUGUCCGAAUGGGCGAACCCGGCUGCAGCGAUGCGGUCAUUUGCAUUUGAAUACAUAGGAUGCAAAGGCGAACUCGGGGAACUGAAACAUCUAAGUACCCGAAGGAAAAGAAAUCAAGAGAGAUUCUCCAAGUAGCGGCGAGCGAACGGGGAGCAGCCCAGAGUCUGAAUCAGCUUGUGUGUUAGUG
rnacentral:rRNA from 1 species